UGGUAAUGCCAAAUAAUAUGCUUGGAAGUGAAGAUGAUUAAUGGUAGCGAAAGCACCCAAACUGUUGUAACCAAUUCUAAAGAAAGGAUCUGAUGCUUCUUUAGCCAUGUGAAGAGCAAGCAAGAAGCUCUCAUGAUCAAUCCUUUGAGGCAAGCAAUCAAGAACUCGGGGUAUCAACAGAACAUGUCCAAACUCAAUUGGGCUUACGUUGAUAGCAACAAUACUGGGAGAAGUGGAAUCAGCAGUGACAGGUGCACUAGGAAAGAACUCGCUCUUGUUGUCAUGGCCUUGUUCAAACCUGAAAAGGACUUCUUCUUGUCCAACUUUUGUGAAAUUGAAUUUACCCUCGUCGAAGGCCUGAAGUACCCUGUCAACCCUGAAUUCAGUUGGUCUUUUCUUUAGAUGGCGGCCCUCGUUAAGCUGUGCAAUGAAGCCGCAUCGGCCAGGAAUGAUCCUUGUCUCACAAGUAGUUACAUCAUAGCGGAAAAGGCCACGACUCAUUCGAUCCUCCCAUUGACCCAGCAAUAGAUUGUGCAGGAAACAUAUUUGAGGCUGCUGCUUGGGUGAGUUCAGCCCCCCAUUUUCCAUAGAAUUCUUUCCAUCUUUUUUGAA
rnacentral:misc_RNA from 1 species